rnacentral:lncRNA from 1 species
AAUGGCUGUUUUUAUUUUGUUUUUUUUUAAUUUUUUUUAUUUUAUUAAAGUUUUAUGUAAUAUUUAGGAUUUUAUAAUUAAUGCAAUUUAAAUUUGAAAUAAAUUGUGUUAUUUAAAUUUGAGCAAUUAAAUUUAAAUGAAAAACAUAAAAUCAAAACUAAUAUUAUCAAGUAGGCUAUCAAGGAACCCCAAUGCAGCACUACCUACUUAAUAACACAAACACUAUCAAGUAGGCUAUCA